rnacentral:rRNA from 1 species
GAUGAACGCUGGCGGCGUGCCUAAUACAUGCAAGUCGAGCGAACAGACGAGGAGCUUGCUCCUCUGACGUUAGCGGCGGACGGGUGAGUAACACGUGGAUAACCUACCUAUAAGACUGGGAUAACUUCGGGAAACCGGAGCUAAUACCGGAUAAUAUAUUGAACCGCAUGGUUCAAUAGUGAAAGACGGUUUUGCUGUCACUUAUAGAUGGAUCCGCGCCGCAUUAGCUAGUUGGUAAGGUAACGGCUUACCAAGGCGACGAUGCGUAGCCGACCUGAGAGGGUGAUCGGCCACACUGGAACUGAGACACGGUCCAGACUCCUACGGGAGGCAGCAGUAGGGAAUCUUCCGCAAUGGGCGAAAGCCUGACGGAGCAACGCCGCGUGAGUGAUGAAGGUCUUCGGAUCGUAAAACUCUGUUAUUAGGGAAGAACAAAUGUGUAAGUAACUAUGCACGUCUUGAUGUUACCUAAUCAGAAAGCCACGGCUAACUACGUG